UGUACGGGACGGGUGCCCCCCAACCA
rnacentral:tRNA from 1 species